ACAGUGACGUUUCACUGCCAGCCUUCAGAACUUCACCCAUGUCCACCAUGUCCAAUGUGGUGGACAGCAAAUGGCGUUUAUUGAGGGGUCACAGGGAUCCUUUAUAGCUUGGACAGUGAGUGUCAUUUCCUUCUGCUCAUGUCCGGCUGGGUGUGGCUAGGCACGGAGCAAAGGUUUGACUACAGGGGUGGGGGGAUGUCCUGACUGACCAUACAGCCCGAUUUCUUCUGCACGCAGAUCCCUGGCUCUCCACAUUUCCCCCCUCCCUCAUUAUUAGUAAAAAUCAUAUAAAGUUAUAAAAUGUAGAGGUUACAAAAUUUCAUGGGUUAGUAAAAUUAGUAUAAAAUUGUAAGUGUGUUAGUAUCUGGCACACCUUAAAGUAAUUGUUGGCGCUCGAGAAACAUAAUGUUAACAGUUUCUAAACACCUUUUAGCGAAUAGCACCAGUUUGUUUAAUAUGCAAGGCCCGAAGAUUAGGGUUAGUAAGAUCAUAGUGAGUGGGCCUAUUAGGGUAGAAAUCAGGGUGGUGAGCCAUGGGGACCGGUUGAACCACGACUCGAACCAGCCCUUUUUAGCCUCUGUCCAUUUUUCUUAGGUUUAGUCAGUUCCUCAGUUCAGCCAUGGAGUCUCUGACGACUCCGGUGUGGUCUGCAUAAAAGCAGCAUUCCUCUCUCAAGGCAGCACACAGGCCUCCUUGCUGCAUGAACAAGCGGUCCAGUCCUUGCCUGUUUUGGAGGACAACCUCUGAGAGCGAGGAAAGGGAUUUUUCUAGGGAAGAGAUGGAUUUCUCGAUCCUUUGUAAGUCCUCGUCAACAGUCAUCUGCAGUUGUGCCAGUCCUUGAUGUUGCAUUGCAAGGGCCGAGAUGCCUGUGGCAGCGCCAGUAGCUCCUAAACCGAGGAGCAUUGUGAUGGUGAUGCCUGCUAUCACAUCUCGUUUGUGGAGCCGGUCGGGUUCCUCGAACAAGCGGUACACCUCUUCUUCCUGGCGAUACAGGACUCUGUGGACAAUUAGAACUUGGACACAAAAGUCAGUAGAAUGAUCGAAUUUGUCAAGGAGUACACAUGGGCUUACCCCGGAUCGUUGACAGACCCACAUUCCCGAUGCAGCUGGGAUCACCCACUGGAACUUCCCUCCCUUAAGUUUGAUGAAUUCCCGGCAGACGUUGCCCAUCUGCUUUGCCAAGGUUGCAUUGCCAAAGCAUUUGCCUUGGCCCAUAACCUGACUUAGGGUAAUGCCUCUCCGGGGGGUGUCCCAUCUGCAUUGGCGUGGAUUGUCUGACUUUGAGAAGAUGAAUGGGAGAUCGAGGGCAACACCUUCGUAAAAAGGGGGUUGUGCAUCAUAGCAUAACCAGCAUGACUCUGUGGAGUUCGGGUUGGAUUGGUUUAACGAUAAGAAGGUAGCAUUUAACCCGCUUAAGAAUGGAAUGGAGAGGGUUGGUUUGGCUAAAAUAACCAGCAUGACUCUGUGGAGUUCAGGUUGGAUUGGUUUAACGAUAAGAAGGUAGCAUUUAACAUGCUUAAGAAUGGAAUGGAGAGGGUUGGUUUGGCUAAAGGAUCAGAUGGGGAAGUAAGUUUUGGCAUCUGUGUUUUGCGGCUAGAACUACCGUUAACUGCGAUCCCCUUCCUGGGUCUACUCAUUGCUAGAACCGGAUUGGGUCUGACUGAUUGGGAUAUUGGAGCUGCGAGUCUGAUAAUUUCUAUGUUCACCCAGAUGUGGCGAGAGAGAUGAACAAACGCUGUCCACACUUUGCCCGUGGCCCAGCCAUCAUGGGUCGGCUGCAGGAUUGUCAUUAUAUAGCCUCUGCAGGUGUGCUGUUUCCUGUCUUGGGGCGAAAGCACAUGCUCCUCCAUAUAAAAUUUUGGUUUGAGGCAGCCGUGGGGAGUGUACUUAAUUUGCAGGAACUUAUCAGGCUGUUGUGGUUUCCAUCUAUUGCUUGUCACAAUAGUUUCACACCCCCAAUAUCCACAAUGUCCAUACCCUGGGUAAUUACAAUAACUUUUUCCUGGGUUGGAAGCAGGGCACCAGUAGGUCUGAAAUAAUGUCGUCUCCUGAAAUUUGGGGUGCCCUGUAUGCGAGGGAAAAAUGUCUUUUAGCCUGAACUCGAAAGAUGGGGUGUUGGCUGUAACAAUUUCUUUGAUGACCCCCUCACCUGAGAGAUGGCAUAGAACCCACCUGAAUGGCUGGUGAGGGUAAUGUAUCUGCCUGUCCUCCGCCUACUAACCUUAGAAACAAGAUCACACAGAUACCGUUGCUGCUUUGAUUUUGAUGGUGUGAGCUUCUCAGGUGAUGUCGGGCUGCUUGGUAGUCUCUCUCUCUUUCCCAGUAUAUGGGGCAUAUGGGUUGUGGGGGCAUCCAAUGAUCCAGUCCUGCAAACAAAGUCUCACAAUUCUCAUGAGUUUCACUUUGAAGGUCUGGUUUAAUAGAUUUGAGCAGACACCAUUUGAUGUCCCCAUCUUUUUUAACGGCCGCAUAUCCCCGCCCCAUGAGCACUAAUCUCCAACCUUGUUCCCACUCCCCUGGUUCAUUUUUGAUCACAACCCGUGGGCCUUCCUCUAGUGCUCGAGUAGCCCAGUGUCUCUGGGCAGGACUGUUGUUUCGUCCCCCCUAGGGAAUUGAUUUAACGCUAGCAGCACAGUUGCUAGUAUGCGCGCCUGGUCACUCGGGGGAAUGGCAUUGGUGAAGCCUUCUGUCUUUGCUAGUACUUCCAGCUUAGUUUUCAGAGUCUGGUUUCCUCUUUCAACGAUGGCUUGUCUGGUGCUGUUGUAUGGGAUGCCAUGUACCAAGGCGAUGUUCCAUUUUGAGACGAAUGCUUGGACCGUCUUUGAGAUGAAGUUUGAGCCGUUGUCUGUUUUGAUUUGUUUUGGAACCCCAAGCCAUGCCAUGGCUGUUAGCCAAUGUUGGAUGGUCGCUUUGGAACCGGUCUUGAGAUGCUGUGUGGCCACAAUCAUGCCGCUGUACGUAUCUAUGGUAACUGCAAGCCACGCUCGGGGUCUCAACAGAGGGCAUUGGGUGAAGUCUGUUUGCCAUAUUUCUGAGGCUUUGAGGCCUCUGGGGUUGACGCCACUUGACCACAGUGGCGACUUCUGACAGUGGGGGCAUGUGGCGACAAUGUGCUUUGCGUCCGCGGUAGAAAUCCCGCACCUUUUUGCAAGUGCUUUAUCUCCGAUGUGAAGGGAUUCGUGCAACUGACAAGCUUCUUUCAGUGUCCAUACGCCUUUUGCGGCGGUGUCAGCCUUGUCGUUGCCAAUUUGGUAGAAUCCUUUGAUCGGGUCAUGGCUGUUGAUGUGGAUGACUGAUAUGGUGCCUUUCCAUGAAUAGAGUGCUUCCUCCAGCAUCAUUGCCACAGUGGACACUGACACACCUGGUCCGGACAUGGCUAGGCAGAGCUUAGCCACAAAUAUGGAAUCAGUCACAAUGUUUAGGUGUUCUUCUGGGAACAGGCCGCAUGCUAGCACUACGGCUGCUGCUUCAAGCUGUUGGGCCGAAAGCGUGGGGUCGGUUGUCUUGACACAUUGCCACUGUUCUCCUGACUGCCAUACUGCCGCUGCGGUGGAGGUCUGCGAUGAUGCAUCCGUGAAGAUGGUUGGUCCUGCCCAUGGUCGGUCGAUUACCUUUGGUGCAGGUCGAUGUCGAUGACCGUGAGCAGCCGAGUCCAAGGGGGUUUUUCCUUGGACUCGGCUGUAGCAAAUCUCUCCUCCAAAGCCUGCAAGGGCCAUGGCUAGAUAUUCAGAUAUUGUUGUUGACUGCGCGGAGAGCUGUUUGCAGAAAGGCAAGUAUAUCUUUGAAGGUUCGAUGCCCAGAUGUCUUAGGGCGAGUUUCCUGCCUUUCAUGAUGAGGCUGCUGAGGCACUCGACUCCCGGGGAAAAGGCACAUGACAGUUUCCCCAAGACCACCCAUAGUAUUGGUUGGGCCUUGUCGGGGGGUCCUUGGGCUAAGGGUCCCGCUCCCCCCUUUUUUGUAAAGUGGACAUACAGAUCGACUGGUGCACUUGAAUCCCAUCUGGUGAGCAUGCUCUCUGACAUCUGGCGUUCAAUGAAGUUGAGCGAGCUUAUCGCUUCCGGUGUCAGGGUUUUCUGCUCCCAUGGGUUCUUUCCUUUCAAGAGGUCAUUUAGAGGGUCCAUGACCUCAGGAGGAAUCAGGACGAUGUUGCGGAGCCACUGUAAGGACCCUACCAGCUGCUGCACGUCGUGGAGUGUCUUGAUGUGUCGGCGGGUUUUCAUCUGGGGAGGAGUUAUGUAGGAGCUUGUGAUUCCCACUCCUAGGAAGGUCACGCACGGUCCCUUUUUUAUUUUUGCACUCACUACCUCAAAGCCAUUUGUCUUUAAGGUCUCGGAGAUGGUUGAUACCAGCUGGUCUACUUGUCUCGUGGAUGAUGCGGCGAUCAGGAUGUCGUCCAUGUACUGCAUGAUGGUCACAGUCGGACUGCUCUGCCAGACUGGUGCUAGCGCUCGGUCCACUGUGAUCUGGCAGAUGGUGGGAGAGUUGACCAUUCCUUGGGGUAACAUUCUCCACUGGAAGUGUAGGUUGGGCCGCUGGCUAUUUGGAAAGGCGAUGGAAAAGGCGAACCACUCCUUGUUGUCUUCGUGCAGGGGAAUAGAAAAGAAGCAGUCUUUGAUGUCGAGCACUGCACAGGGUUGUCCUCUCGGUAUCAUCGAGUUCAUGGGCAGUGAAGUUUGUAUGGGGCCCAUAGGCUGGAUUCUCUGGUUCACUUCCCGCAGGUCGUGCAGGAGAUGAAAGCCUUCACCAGACCGAUUAGGUAUUACGAAGAUCGGGGUGUUCCAUGGACUCAUGGAGGGUUCUAUAUGAUUCUUGUGUAACUCACGGCUAGCUCAAUGAGAGCAGUUAUUCGAGGCGUUGACAAGGGCUGGAUCCCCACCGGAUCGACUGAUUUCCAAGUCAGCUUGAUGGGCAAUGGCGGGUAUGUGACAGUGGCCCUUAGAAUAAAUUUGUCACCCUAACGUCCAGCAGGGCUAGGGCAUCCCUCCCCAACAAGGGUGGGCAAUCUGACAUAACAUAUGUAGUGAGGGUGAUAGUUCUUCCUGGUCCUCUUUCGGUGCAGAGGGUUAUUGCUACUGGUUGGGUGCAUUUGUGGGCUCGGGACAGCCCUCCAACUCCGCCCACCAUGGGGGCUUCUUCUAGCUUCCAUUGUAGAGGCCAGUGUAUGUCUGGGAUGACAGUGACAUCUGAUCCUGUGUCCACCCAAAAGGGAAGGCAGAUGGCCGAGUCAUCGGAGCUGUUGUGGAGAUGACACGCUGCCCACACGAUCAGUGGGUGCUUGCCCACCUUCGCGGUGAAGGCCACCCAUGGGUCUCAUUCCCAUGCUUUCAUGGCCAAAGCCACCCAGGGGCCUCGCCCCCAGGGAGCUGUUCUUGGUAUUCCUGAGGUGCAGAUGGGUUUGAUUGAGCCAUUGGUUGGGCGACGAAGUUGGUAAUUUCUUGAGGGGGUGGUGGGCAUGGAAGCCCUGUGCCCCAUUGAGGGUUGUUGUAGCUGGGCCGCUUCAUGUUCCAGGUGGGAGGAGGCUGGGUACAGCCCAGCUGCCCUCUCCCUCUCCCAUUUCCCUGAGGCCUGGAUCUGCAUUCCUUAGCUAAAUGGCCCUUCCUUCCACAUGCCCAGCAUGGUCCCCUAAGUUUCCCCUGGCGUGGUGGAGCAGCUGCUGGUUGGCGUCCUGACUGGGGGCAGUUUACUGCUACGUGGCCUGCCUGGCCACACUUGAAGCAUGCCAUCACACUGGUUAUUGCAGUGUGAACUGCUGCUUGGAUGGGAGCUAGGUGUUCUUCCUUUGCAACGUGUCUGAUCAUGGUAGCAAUAUUGGACCCAGGUGGCAGUGAUCUUAAGAUGUCUUUGGUGGCUGAGUUGCAUUGCUGGCGUAGGCAGUCUGCUAGCACAGGACCCUUCGCCUCUGAGGGUAAUGCAGAGGAAUCUAAUGCUGCCUGAAGGCGGCCCACAAACUGAGUGAAGCUCUCACGCUCACUCUGCUUUACAGUAGACCAUGGCGAUGGUUUGGCUAUUACUUUGGAAGCAACACAGAUGGCUUCUCGGGCAGCACGGGUUGUUGUCAUAACCUCAUGGGCCCGCAGGCCCUCAGCCUGUGCCUGGGGGGUGAUCAUAGUGGGGUCUGUGCCCAUUAGCCUCUGUAUGCUGGAGCCGUGCAGUGGGUGGUCUGCCGCUGUUACUAAGGCUAGCUGCUUUACACAGUUGUCCUCCCAUUCCUGUUUAAAAACGAUCAUCCUCGCCCCAUCAAAAAUCAGCCUGCAAGUCUGUUUGAUAUCAAAGGGAAGCGUAUCAUCACUUCCAAAAACGCUGUCAGUGAGUGUGAAAACCAUGGUGGAAUUAAUCCCCCUGUCUGCAAUCGCUUUAAUAAUUGCCUGUACAUCUUUUGGGUUUACCGGGGAGUAGGUUCUUUGGUUUCCGCCUGCCCCCCCGCCACGGACCGGGAACACCAGCGUGGCAGAUGGAGCCCACUCUGCACAAGCCAUUUUUAUUUUCCGCCAGUCUGUAAGCAGGGUUCGAUCUUUCUCUGAUAUCCCCUUAACCCACGCAGGAGCGCUGUGGCUAGUGAUCUUAUAUGCCACUACUCUCUUUUUUUUAAAACCCGAAUCCAUGUCGGAAUCCUCUGACCAUCUUUCAAGCCCAUCGCGGCUCGAGUCCAAGUCCGAGCCGGAAGUCGACUGGCCGGACAUUUCCGGGCUGCUGUGCUGUUUUCUUGGGCUCCGACCCUUCUUGCGGGGAUCGGGCGUUCCCUCCCCCUGGGCUCCCCCCGCCUCCUGCUGGGGGAGGUCCUUGCCCUAUAAGGACCUAAUGUGAAUUGAGCGCUCUGAUUGGUCUUACGCUCCUUCUUAGGGGCCACCCCUCCUCCCCGCUCGCCCAUGCUUGCGCUGUUCAUCGAGCCUUCUGCAUUUCUGCCCCCCAUGUCUUCAUUCCAGCCCUGGUCACGCGCUCCGGCGCCAUUUUCAAAUGCAUAUGGCGGGGGUGCCUUUUUAUCAACCGCUUCGGGGUCUGAUAUUAUAGCAGCAUUCCGUGCCUCCUCUGCUAGCCCCUGCCAAAAUGCCUGUGCGUGCUCCCCCCCUUCUGAUGGUGAGUCCGGUCGCUGAGGGGGUUCCGGCGUUCACGCCUCUGCGGUUUGUGUCACUGCCCCUACCCCCAACUGUGGCGUGGCUAAUAAACAAGUUCAUGUGGCUUUCCAGGUUUCUUGCUCUUUCCGAGCUUUUUGCAAAGCCUGGAUAACUCUGCCCCAUGAUUUGAGGGCUUUCCCUGAGCCUGAGGACAUGGUUUCCUCGGCCAGAGCCUUUGUGCAAUUAUCUCAGAUCUCCGAAUUGAGAAUGUCUACUGGGCUUUCUAUAGCCCCAAGCUUAAUCAGUCUCGGUAUUGCAAGACAUAGAUCUUUAAGCUUACACUCGAUACCCCACUGCGUGUGGAUCUGACUUACGACCUUCGCGAUAGCGUCCAUGCUCCCCGCUGGUCCGGGGGCGUCCCCCCCGCUGCACUAGGCCAGUUGUGCAGCCGCCGGUCCCUCGUCCAGGCGAUCCCCGAACCCCGGGUGCUGAUUGGUCCCGAGGUUUUGGCACCACUGGGGUCGUGUGGACUGGGAUCCCACAGACUGGGACUGCACAGACUGGGACCAUAUGGAUCAGGACCAUACAGACUGGGGUCAUGUGGGCUGGGAUUGUAUGGGUUGGGAUUGUAUGGGUUGGGAUUGUACAGGCUGGGAUCACGUGGACCAGGAUUUCAUGGGCUAGGACCAUAAGCAUUAGGAGCAGAGAUUGGGAUCAUCCAAACUGGACCAUAUGGACCGGGAUGGCUGCACUGGAUCAAUGUGAACCAAGGGGGUCCCGCCCUGCCCAGGGGUCCCUCCCCAUCCUGCCCGGGGUUGCAGCCAAAGCUUCCCGGGAUGAACACAGAGGUUCAGGAGGGAUCCCAGUGCCAAUCCCAUUUCUGAUCCCAUUUCUGAUCCUGGUGCCAGUCUCAGUGUGAACCUGGCACUGAUCCCGGUCCCAGUUCCAACCUCGGUCUCUGUCUCAGUCCCGGAGCACUCCCAGUGCUGAUUCUGGUUCUCAUGUCAAUCUUAAUCGCAGAGCGGUGCCGGUCCUAGUCUCAGUCUCGGUCUCAGAGCAGUUCUGGAGCCAGUGCUGCUACUGGUGCUGGUCUUGGUCCCGGAGUGCUCCCAGUGCCAAUCUCAGUCUCGGUCCUGGUCCCAGAGAACUGCCGGUCUCAGUGCUGGUUCGGUCUCAGUCCUAGAGCGCUCCCGGUCUCGGUCCUGAUCCCGGUCCCAGAGCAGUCCCGGUGCGGGUGGCGGGUUCCAGUCUCGGUCCUGAUCCCAGUCCUGGAGCGCUGCCGGAGCCAUUCCCAGUUCCAAAGUGCUCCUGGUGCCGGUCCCAGUGUCAGGCUUGGUCCCAGUCUUGGUCCCAGUGCGAGUUCUGGUGCUGGUUCUGGUCAGGGUCUCGGUCCUAGUCUCGGUGCUGGUCCUGUAGCGCUGCCAAUCUCAGUUCCAGUGUUGGUCUCAGUCUUGCUGCUGGUGCUGGUUCUGCUGCUGGGUUUGGUCUUGUUCCCGAGAAUUUAGGUCCAUUUGAGUGAUUUUAGGCCAAACUGGGCAGGUUUAGGGUGGGUUUCAGAUCCCUUGCAAGGAUUUGAACCCUUUUGGGUGGAUCUUAGGCCCCUUUGGCUGAUUUUAGGCCAAAUCUGGUGGGUUUUAGGGUGGAUUUUAGAUCCCUUUGGCUGAUUUUAGGCCCAUAUGGGUGGAUUUUAGUCCUCUUUGGGUAAUUUUAUCUUUUAGGUCCCUAUGUGUAAUAGAUGGCUAAUGAGAUGAUUGGCUCUCACAAUUAAGGGAUGAAUACUGUAUGAAUAUUAAGAGAAGCUUUAUUGAUGUGUGAUUAUGUUAUUGCAGUCUGUUGUUUAGAUGUCCUCGGUUCUCCCCACAGUCCCCUUUCCCCCUAUUGUUGCCAUCAGACAGCCUGAGCCAUUCAGGACAGGUGGAAAGAAGGCGAGUACAAAAACUUAUUCCUGGGGAGGGGGCGUGGCAUGACAGCACCUGACCUUCCAAUGAAGCUGCAGGAAAGCAGAGUCCACCAAUAAACAGCAAAGAAGAGUUGACUGACAGACUAUGGGAGGGGCCAGGGUUGGCUGAUGCAAUCCCUGGGGUAUAAAAGGUGAAGCAUCCAUCUUGAGGAUGGGCCAGGCAUGUGGUAGGCAGCCACGAGGGAAGCUCCCAGGCCUGUUCUUCCUUAUUUAGUCCAUUUGUUGUCAUUUUUGGUAAGGUUGAAUAAAACUUUUAAAAUUUUGAAAGUCAGCAGUCAUUUCUCACAGUAACCAUGGGUUCCUUUACUGGAGUUUGGUGCACAGGAGAAACAUCAACCAUAUGUUCUGAAGAGGUCAAAAUGACACAAAAUUUUACUGGCAAAGUACAGAAAAUCAAGAAACUUUGGGAAAAGAUAUACUAAAACAUGCAAUUCAUGUACCGGGAAACGUUUAAUCACUUCAGUUGUUGAGGUAUCAAAAAAUGUUCCAUAUCAAGAGCAUUAGAAGGAGAAGACAGAGAGACAGGGGGACAGAAGCUCUAUAGAAAGAAAUGCACAUGGCUACACACUGCUGGGGUUCCAGUGUGGGUGAGACACAAACCACAGCACGGAGCCCUUGGGACACAUCAAGGCCCCUCUGGAACAAAGAAACCAUUGCUGACAGUCCAGAAACUCAUGGAACCAAGGGAACCUUGUGACAAUGCAGAUCCAAGGACACCACAGUGGCACUAUUGAACCUCAUGGGAGCAAAGAGACCAUUGUGACACUCUGGUGCCUCACGGAAUCAGGGGGACCAAUUGUGAAACUCAGGCCCCCUAUGCAACCAAGGGCCACGGAUGAAGCUGUGGGGCCCAUGGAACCAAGGAGCCGUUGUGACACAGCGGGGCCAUGGGGAGCCGAGGGGCCAUGGUGACAUUCCAAGUGCCAAGCCGUUGUGACACAGCGGGGCCAUGGGAAGCCAAGGGGCCAUUGUGACACUGCAGAAGAAAGGAGAACACUGUGACACUCCAGGGACUCCUGGAAUCAAGGAGACCCUUGGGACACUGUGGGGCCCCAUGGAACCAAGGGGACAGGGAGCAGGUGUGGCUGGUUUGGCUUCCCGGGGGCUGCUGGACAGGUCUGGCUGACCUUGGCAUGUCAAGGGCUGCUCCUCAUCUGCCCCUGAAGGACUGGGGCUCUGGGCUCUCCUUCCUAUGGGAGAGAACUGUCCUUAUCAUCCUCCAGGGCCCUAUGGCCAAAACUGGGAUUCCUUCUCCAAAUUCCCUUACAUGCAAAGAUUGUUCCCCGAUGAAAUCUGCCAGGAGAGACAGAUCUGGCUGCCUUGGCUAUCUGGGGCCACCUCUCAUCUGUUGGAGAAUUUUGCUCAGACAUGGCUUGAAGGAAAAAAGGCCAUGAAAAUAUACAGCUGAUGGAAAAGUAAAAGGCUGCUGUGAGGAGCAAAUUCUCAAAGCCUGUUUCUGUAAACAACAAAGUUCUCAGGCACAUUUCUGUAAACAACAAAGUUCUCAGGCACAUUUCUGUAAACAACAAAGUUCUCAGGCUGUUUUUUCAUAACAGGUAAAUAUCUUGUCCUUGGAUAAGUUUUGGGAAAGCAAAAGUGACAAACAUGAAGGCCUUGAGAACCGUUCAUAUCAGGGUGAGAAAACAAAUCUUGGUUUCAAUAACAAACCACAGGUAUUGAAAACAAAAGGAGGGGUUAAUGUGUAAUCUGUAACCUAUGAUGAGCUUGGGUUUUGCAAUAUGUAUGAGCCUAAUUAACACUGUUAUAAAAUGUGCAUGAUGAAUGAAUAAAUCGGAGUUCGAUCCUGAUCAGAGGAUGGGUUGUCUCCCUUCGCUUUCUACAAAUAGUCACACCCGAUCGUGAUACGGCAAUGCACCACGAAGGAGCGAAGAAACAGGUCAGGUCCUAGCAGCGGGACGGCAGUAAACGCGACAAAAUGGAUAAAAAAGAAGCUGAGAUGCGUUGUGCCUUGGGUGUCGUACAGGCGAGCCCAACUGAUACGUGCUGCACGGACCUUGAAGAGGCUGGAAUCAGCGCUGACGAUUUUAGUGCCAGUUGCAUCGGCACCAGCAAAUAGAAGAGGCCGCAUGAAAUGUUACCGAUGUGGAGGCAUGGGUCACAAGCACCGGGAAUGGCAGGCUGCAGAACUCUGGUGCCGGAGAUGCCGUUCGGACACUCAUAAUACGAGCGCUUGCAGACGGAAAUCGGGAAACUUCCCCGGGAGUACGAACCGCAGUGACCAGGCACCAACAGAAGUCGUCGCUGCAGCAUCAGCACCCUCUCCUGUCUCCAACCCAACACCACAGGGAGCCGCUGCGGGGGGAGCGGAGCCACUGCGGGAGGAGUGACCCGCACCGCCACGGCUGCAGCGCGGACAGAGCGCGCACCGCACCCAGCGCGGGGGGGUUCGCCUGCUCCAACACAAGCGGCGGGGGACCAGAGCGCUUUUCCAGCGCCAGCGCUUGUCUCUCCACCCCACAGCUGGCAAAGAGCUUCGGUUUUAGACCUAGCAGCCGUGGUGGAUGUGACUCUUGUCAACAAAAGGAAAAGAUCCCUACUGCAAUUGGGAAACCAGUGAUAAUAAACAAGCGACACCAAGGAGCAUUAGAAUCCAGACGUUCCUCGCCUAGCCGAUUUGGCUCAGCAUCCGUUAUGCUGUCAGAAUCACCUGCAGUAACAUAGACUUUAACAUCAGAGGCACACAUGGCUCGGUCGGUGGAACAAUCAAACUCUGAAAUUGUAUUUUGAAAAAUUUAAAAAUGUUAAAGAUGUGUGGAAGCGAUUGUAUGGGUGAGAUGUAGUGAGUGUGCUUUUUAUGUUCUUUGAGAUUUGCUUGGAUGUGAUAGAUGUAAAGGCAAACACUGAAUUCAAAAGAAUUUUUCCACAGGUAUACCUUAAAAACAAACUCCUUGUGUUUAAGUGCAUUCAAGUGUAAAAAUGCUAUAGCAAACAUAUGAAGAAAGUUGUUUCAUCCUAGUAUUUUAGAAUCAGGCCUGUAAGUAAGUUAUAGUAAAUGCUAUAUUCUAUUUUUAUAGUAAGUUUUAUUUGUUAUUAAGUAGUUUAAGUUAAAUUAUCUAUUAAGUGUUAUUAAGUUUAAGUUAAGUUAGAUUCUGUUAAGUUUAAAUUAUAUUAGGUUUAAGUUAUGUAGAAUUUAAAGUCAGUUGAUUUUUGUUAAAGUUUUGUUAGAUUUAAGUAAUUUUACAUGUAAGUUCUGUUGAUUUGAAAAUAAGUCUGUUAAGUUUAAAUAUUUUAAGUUCUUUAAGUUUAAGUGCUGUUAAGUUUGAAUGAUGUUAGAUAGAUUUAUGCUAGGUGUUUAUUUUAUGAUCUGCAUUUGUUGGGACUAUAUGUUAUGGCGCAUACUACUUUCCCACCACUCCAAAGCAACAAAAGGACUGAGAAUUGCUCAGCUGGUACCAUUUGAGCCAAAUGACUAAAGGAUUACAGACUGUAAUAGGACAAGAGAGGGGGGAAAAUGGUUUUGAAUCCACUGGAGGACUUACCUUACUGACUUUGAAUUUUUCUGAGAGACCCAAGAAAAGAGUGGAAGUGGAAUUUCAAGGACAGAAAGGAUCAACUUCAAGCUUGUUGGACACUGGGGUCGAUUCCAGCAUUAUUAGCCCUAGCUGUUCGCCUCCUCUCCGGGUUCGCAUGAAUGAAAACAGCUAACAGCCUUCUUUUCUUAGUCCAAUUACCACCUACUGUGCAAUGCCUGAUAAGGCAGGACAUUAUGGCUCAGCUGGGGGUGGUUUUAACCCGUUGGGGUAAAAGCCAUUGUUCGGACCGUGGCUGGGGAACCUUAUAGAGAUACUAAGUGUGCUUAUAAUGCUUUUACUUGUUUUACCUUGUAUUUUUAGUUGUAUUCAAGAUAUGGUCAGUAGAAUGAUAGAAAAAACCCUGGCAAACUAGCCUCCUUGUGCAAAAAUGAAAAACGGGGAAUUUGUUGGAGAAUUUUGCUCAGACAUGGCUUGAAGGGAAAAAGGCCAUGAAAAUAUACAGCUGAUGGAAAAGUAAAAGGCAGCUGUGAGGAGCAAAUUCUCAAAGCCUGUUUCUGUAAACAACAAAGUUCUCAGGCACAUUUCUGUAAACAACAAAGUUCUCAGGCUGUUUUUUCAUAACAGGUAAAUAUCUUGUCCUUGGAUAAGUUUUGGAAAAGCAAAAGUGACAAACAUGAAGGCCUUGAGAACCGUUCAUAUCAGGGUGAGAAAACAAAUCUUGGUUUCAAUAACAAACCACAGGUAUUGAAAACAAAAGGAGGGGUUAAUGUGUAAAUCUGUAACCGAUGAUGAGCUUGGGUUUUGCAAUAUGUAUGAGCUUAAUUAACACUGUUAUAAAAUGUGCAUGAUGGAUGAAUAAAUCGGAGUUCGAUGCUGA